rnacentral:rRNA from 1 species
UACAGAGGUGGCAAGCGUUGUUCGGAAUUACUGGGCGUAAAGGGCGCGUAGGCGGCCAUCUAAGUCAGACGUGAAAUCCCUCGGCUUAACCGGGGAACUGCGUCUGAUACUGGAUGGCUUGAGGUUGGGAGAGGGAUGCGGAAUUCCAGGUGUAGCGGUGAAAUUCGUAGAUAUUGGGUGGAACACCGGUGGCGAAAGCGGCUCUCUGGUCCGGACCUGACGCUGAGGCGCGAAAGCGUGGGGAGCAAACAGG